rnacentral:rRNA from 1 species
AGAGUUUGAUCAUGGCUCAGAUUGAACGCUGGCGGCAUGCCUUACACAUGCAAGUCGAACGGCAGCACGGGAGCAAUCCUGGUGGCGAGUGGCGAACGGGUGAGUAAUAUAUCGGAACGUGCCCAGUCGUGGGGGAUAACGUAGCGAAAGCUACGCUAAUACCGCAUACGAUCUACGGAUGAAAGCGGGGGACUCGUAAGGGCCUCGCGCGAUUGGAGCGGCCGAUAUCAGAUUAGGUUGUUGGUGAGGUAAAAGCUCACCAAGCCUGCGAUCUGUAGCUGGUCUGAGAGGACGACCAGCCACACUGGAACUGAGACACGGUCCAGACUCCUACGGGAGGCAGCAGUGGGGAAUUUUGGACAAUGGACGCAAGUCUGAUCCAGCAAUGCCGCGUGCAGGACGAAGGCCUUCGGGUUGUAAACUGCUUUUGUACGGGACGAAACGGUCUGCUUUAACACAGUGGGCUAAUGACGGUACCGUAAGAAUAG